CUGGUUUUCUGGGGACUACUAACCAGCUAACUACAAUAGAUUUAUGAAUUAGGUUCUCAUAGCUGUGGAUUCCAUACUGUUAAGAACAUCUCUUCUAGGAAGAAGAUUCUAAAUCUCAGAGUUAUCUCUUAACAAGAAGCUUCCUUUAUUGUCAUCCUUUCAUAGAACACCAGCCCCACCCACCAGUAGCUGGGAGAAAAAG
rnacentral:lncRNA from 1 species